AUUGAACGCUGGCGGCAGGCUUAACACAUGCAAGUCGAGCGGGGACUUCGGUCCUAGCGGCGAACGGGUGAGGAAUGCUUGGGAAUCUGCCCAGUAGCGGGGGAUAACGUUUCGAAAGGAACGCUAAUACCGCAUACGCCCUACGGGGGAAAGGGGGGGAUCUUCGGACCUCUCACUAUUGGAUGAGCCCAAGUCGGAUUAGCUAGUUGGUGGGGUAAAGGCCUACCAAGGCGACGAUCCGUAGCUGGUCUGAGAGGAUGAUCAGCCACACUGGAACUGAGACACGGUCCAGACUCCUACGGGAGGCAGCAGUGGGGAAUAUUGGACAAUGGGCGAAAGCCUGAUCCAGCCAUGCCGCGUGUGUGAAGAAGGCCUUCGGGUUGUAAAGCACUUUAAGCGAGGAGGAAUGGCUGAGGGUUAAUAACCUUCAGCAGUGACGUUACUCGCAGAAUAAGCACCGGCUAACUCUGUGCCAGCCGCCGCAGUAACAC
rnacentral:rRNA from 1 species